AUUGAACGCUGGCGGCAGGCCUAACACAUGCAAGUCGAGCGGUAGAGAGGUGCUUGCAUCUCUUGAGAGCGGCGGACGGGUGAGUAAUGCCUAGGAAUCUGCCUAGUGGUGGGGGAUAAACGUUCGGAAACGGACGCUAAUACCGCAUACGUCCUACGGGAGAAAGCGGGGGAUCUUCGGACCUCGCGCCAUUAGAUGAGCCUAGGUCGGAUUAGCUAGUUGGUGAGGUAAUGGCUCACCAAGGCGACGAUCCGUAACUGGUCUGAGAGGAUGAUCAGUCACACUGGAACUGAGACACGGUCCAGACUCCUACGGGAGGCAGCAGUGGGGGAAUAUUGGACAAUGGGCGAAAGACCUGAUCCAGCAAUGCCGCGUGAGUGAUGAAGG
rnacentral:rRNA from 1 species